rnacentral:rRNA from 1 species
AACGAACGCUGGCGGCAGGCUUAACACAUGCAAGUCGAACGCCCCGCAAGGGGAGUGGCAGACGGGUGAGUGACGCGUGGGAACAUACCCUUUUCUACGGAAUAGCUCUGGGAAACUGGAAUUAAUACCGUAUACGCCCUACGGGGGAAAGAUUUAUCGGGGAAGGAUUGGCCCGCGUUGGGUUAGCUAGUUGGUGGGGUAAAGGCCUACCAAGGCGACGAUCCAUAGCUGGUCUGAGAGGAUGAUCAGCCACAUUGGGACUGAGACACGGCCCAAACUCCUACGGGAGGCAGCAGUGGGGAAUAUUGGACAAUGGGCGCAAGCCUGAUCCAGCCAUGCCGCGUGAGUGAUGAAGGCCUUAGGGUUGUAAAGCUCUUUCACCGAUGAAGAUAAUGACGGUAGUCGGAGAAGAAGCCCCGGCUAACUUCGUGCCAGCAGCCGCCGUAAUAC